rnacentral:rRNA from 1 species
UACAGAGGGUGCGAGCGUUAAUCGGAAUUACUGGGCGUAAAGCGUGCGCAGACGGUCAUGUAAGUCGGGUGUGAAAGCCCCGGGCUCACUGGGAAUUGCAUUCGAGACUGUGUGGCUAGGGUGCGGAAGAGGGAAGCGGAAUUUCCGGUGUAGCGGUGAAAUGCGUAGAUAUCGGAAGGAACACCAGUGGCGAAAGCGGCUUCCUGGUCCAGCACCGACGUCAGGCACGAAAGCGUGGGGAGCAAACAGG